rnacentral:sRNA from 1 species
AAUACAGCAGCAACAACAAAAUACAACAGAUGUGUUGAAUCGGCAUACAAAUGCAGCAGCACCACAACAUUUCUUUGCUUUUGGUGGAGGUGACGACGGUGUUGGCAUGAGGUAAAAGCAAAAACAACUACAAAAUGCUGGUUACGCGACCAAAGUAUAAAUCGGUAGAAAAGAGGAAUAAGAAGAAGAAAAAUACGAGCAAAACAAAUGAAUUCCAUGUGAAAUGUGUCUAUAAACCAAAAAAAUUAAAGAGAAACAAAACAAAUUGAAAACGAGCAAAGUAAAAGAAGCGCAAAUGAAAAACAACCGUGGGAGGAGAAGGAAAAGGGCGUAGCUUCAUACAGUGAGAGUGGACUAAAAGGGAGAUAGGUAGAUAGACCAUGCUAAAGCAAAAUCAUUGAAUGAAUUUCUAUAAAAAUACGUUUGAAGUGGGUUUGUAUUAAAGAAGCCAAAACAUUUCAUGUGUGUGUGUAUGGAGUGAUUAAAACUUGGAAUAAAUUUGGUUUGGAACACAAUUUUCAACUUUUUGUUUUUAAUAAAUGCAUGUUGGGUUUUU